UACAGAGACUGCAAGCGUUAUUCGGAUUCACUGGGCGUAAAGGGUGCGCAGGCGGCCAUGUGUGUGAGGCGUGAAAGCCCGGGGCUUAACCCCGGAAUUGCACCUCAAACUACAUGGCUAGAGCAUUGGAGAGGGUAGCAGAAUUCACGGUGUAGCAGUGAAAUGCGUAGAUAUCGUGAGGAAUACCAGAGGCGAAGGCGGCUACCUGGACAAUUGCUGACGCUCAGGCACGAAAGCGUGGGGAGCAAAAGGG
rnacentral:rRNA from 1 species